AUACGGAGGGUGCAAGCGUUACUCGGAAUCACUGGGCGUAAAGCGCGCGCAGGCGGCUAUUUAAGUUGGAUGUGAAAGCCUACGGCUCAACCGUAGAACUGCAUCCAAAACUAUUUAGCUAGAGUGUGGGAGAGGAAGAUGGAAUUAGUUGUGUAGGGGUAAAAUCCGUAGAGAUAACUAGGAAUACCAAAAGCGAAGGCAAUCUUCUGGAACACUACUGACGCUAAGGCGUGAAAGCGUGGGGAGCAAACAGGAUUAGAAACCCUUGUAGUCC
rnacentral:rRNA from 1 species